rnacentral:rRNA from 1 species
UUCCCUAGUACGGCGAGUGACGGGGAAGAGCCCAGCGCUGAAUCCAUCGGCCACUGGUCGCUUGGAAUUGUAGCGUAUAGGUGCGGCUGUCCGUUCGUAUCGUGCACCCAAAGUCCCCUUGAGCGGGGCCACAGUCCGAAGAAGGUGCUAGACCUGUACGGGUGGCGAGACGGUCGGUUGGUCGCUCCUUGGAGUCGGGUUGCCUGGGAUCGCAGCCCAAAGUUGGUGGUAGACCUCAUCUAAGGCUAAAUACGGCCACGAAACCGAUAGCAAACAAGUACCGUGAGGGAAAGUUGCAAAGAACUUUGAAGAGAGAGUUCAAGAGGGCGUGAAACCGCUGAGAUGGAAACGGAUAGAGUUGACGGAGCUCUGCUGCAUUCAACCGAUCGGCCCAGCGGUCCAAUGGUUUUGACUUCCUCGAUGAGGGCAAUGCCGUUGAUAGCCGUUGGGUGCUUGAUCGGUGUAUUUGCGGCUGGUAUGCGCUGAGGGCUUUGUGGGCGCGUCUCGACGGGUGUGGAGUGGACCAUACCUUCUCGGUGUGGAACCCUUCGCGCUCUUAGGCAUGUCGCCCGUAAAGUUUCGGAAGUGCCGUCUCCGCUAUGGUGCAUCGGCUUUGUCGAGCUGCUGUCGCUUCAGGUUGGUCGCAUGCGACCGCCGGUUGUCGUCAAUGGCGUGAUGAGGUGCAGAUGCGCUGAGGCGUGCACCUCGGUGUGAACGUUGACCACCUAUCCGACC